rnacentral:rRNA from 1 species
UGGGGAAUAUUGCACAAUGGGCGCAAGCCUGAUGCAGCCAUGCCGCGUGUAUGAAGAAGGCCUUCGGGUUGUAAAGUACUUUCAGUCGGGAGGAAGGUGGUAAGGUUAAUAACCUUAUCAAUUGACAUUACCGACAGAAGAAGCACCGGCUAACUCCGUGCCAGCAGCCGCGGUAAUACGGAGGGUGCAAGCGUUAAUCGGAAUUACUGGGCGUAAAGCGCACGCAGGCGGUUGAUUGAGUCAGAUGUGAAAUCCCCGGGCUUAAACCGGGAAUUGCAUCUGAUACUGGUCAGCUAGAGUCUUGUAGAGGGGGGUAGAAUUCCAUGUGUAGCGGUGAAAUGCGUAGAGAUGUGGAGGAAUACCGGUGGCGAAGGCGGCCCCCUGGACAAAGACUGACGCUCAGGUGCGAAAGCGUGGGGAGCAAACAGG